CAGCACAACUUCUUUUAGACCUCGCUUGACCAGAAGCUCUGCUACCUCAUCAGGGAUUGGUGGCUCAGACCCAGAAGCUUCGUAGAAGGAAAGAACAGCCUGCAGCUUAUCAACUGGGAUUUCCUUGCUGAGAUCGUCCACUGGCAGUGGAGGGAUGAGAGUUUCACACAAGGCAGCCAGCGAUUGAAUCUGUCCUGAAGAGAGACCGUGGCUGUACGUGGUCAUUCCCUUCCCUCC
rnacentral:misc_RNA from 1 species